UCCCCAUAUAAAAGCUGCUGCCAAGAGCAUGGCACUGCAGGUCCGCAACUCUUGAAGACGAAGAAACUCUUUCAACAUAUUAGUCUACACAAUACUUUAGAAAGUAUACCGAGUGAAACUGAUUACUUCGACAAGGCACAAUGAAAAUUAAACUGGUGUUGUUGUUGGUUCUGGUGGCGAUGAUGGGGGCGGCGUUGGCGGCGCCGCAGAUCAUCAUGACACAGAGAGAUUUCCCGGGGCAGAGGCGCCUGGGCAUCAGGAACUACCGGACACACACCUUCGGCAAGAGAGGCUACAGCUCCCUGCGUCUGGCGAGAGUGAAUGAGUGACUGAGAUGAAUAAUAUUCAUAUUCACUCAUUCACUAUCAAAUGAAUUAGAUGAAUGAGAGUCACCUAAUGAGUGAAUAAGAUGAAGAUGGAUGAAGCACUAAGACCCUCCUUGACUCGUGUUGCAAUACAUGAGUCUCCCAUGACAAUUCUGCUCAGUCUGACUCAUCUACAAAUUACUUCAUUAUCGGUCGAAACUUUGGGUGCGAGGGGGGGACACGAUGUGUUUGUGAAGAUGACUUGGGCAAUGCUUGGCUGACGAGACGCCGUCUGCAUUAAUAUGGAGGUCGCGGGCAGGUGGUCAACUGCGUAUUACAUACAUGCUUAGUACAUUUAUAUAUUUAUCUUGUUGUAGUUUGAUUGUUAUGUUAAAGUUUUAUUAAUAAAAUAUUUAAAUAUGACUAAUGCCUUGAGAUUUCUUUUGUUUAAAUUUAAUGUUUGUUUUUGUUACGUGCGCGCGCGCACACACACACACACACACACACACACACACACACACACACACACACACACACACACACACAAA